CCCUAAGAAAAAGAACAAGUGCAGCAUUUGUGAAUCAAUCGAUCACACUGCUGCGACGUGCCUAGGGAAGCUGAUGUGAUCGUUACCACAUGAAGGGAAUGACCCCCUGGGUUUGCAAAACUAGCGGAAAGUAAGGAAAAAAAAGAGCAAAUAGUGUCCUGGUAGAUGAAGCAAUUGAGGUCUGGUUUCUGAGCAAAUGUAGAAGGGAAAUCAAGCAACUCCCAGCUUCAAGAAAAAAGCAAACGAUGAAAUCAUUUGCAUGGAUUUGUUUUAAUUUAUGUGUUUUCCUAGCUUUAAAUUCACAAAUUGGAGACUGUGUGGAGGUAGAAGCUUGACAUUUGUGCUUGUAUUCCUUACUCGUAAAACAUGAAAAAACCUAUGAGCGCUUGUGAUUUAUGCAAACAUGUUAUAGGUGGUUUGGGGCAAACUUUUGUGAGUUUUGUAAUGGAACACAUUAGUAUUCGCAUUUGAUAUUCUCUAAUGGAACACAUUGAUCAGGAAAAAAAUGUACCUAUAUAUUUGUUCACUUGUUGGCCGGUUUGAGGAUCUCCUGCCAUGGAAUCUUGUUCAGGUCACACUUCAGCAUGGAGAUGGUCAUCUUCUUCCCGAUGUUUGGUAUGUUGCUUUGUCCGUAGUUCGGGAGCCAUGUCCCGUUCCACAAUAACGCGUUCACCAAUGCGAAUAUGCUACAGUCACCGCUGCAAAAAAACCAAAAAUGUCAAGAAAGCACUUGCAAAAAAAGCAAAACACUACGUCUUAUAACAAUGAUAUGUAUGUAUGUGGGUUGGUCCUUAUGAUACAGUCUGCUUUGGUGCAUCGAUAUCCACAAGCGGGAACUGGUCCAUUGUCUUUGCUUAUUUUGGAUAGUACUUGUCCCACAACACACGAACUGCAGCUACAAUAGCCCUUGCAACAUCAUCCAGCCUCAUGCUUUUCUUUAACAUCCUCCAUGAGUCAAACACUUCGAACCUUUUGUCCCUCAGAUUGAUGUUGAGUACCCAGUAGUGGUGUGCACCAUUGGUGUUCUCUGGGUCUAAAUUUUCAAGCACAGGAAUCAUAACCUUCAAGAAAAAAAAACCAUGUUAGCAUACCAAAAAAAAACCAUCAACUACUGCUAUGUUUUUGGGCAACUCUAUAUGUUUGUCUGGGCAACAUUUCAUAUGAUUUUUAGGCAACUCUACAUAAUUUAUUCAACUUCUGGCAUAACUCCCAAAAAUGGUUUAUUAGGCAUCUCAGUGGCUUUUUAUGAGCAACUUAUCAUGUGAUUUCAAGCAACUCCUAUGAUUUCCUAACAUCAGCUUCUAGAAAAACAAAAACUAAGAAAAAACAGAAUAGAGCCUUUUGUCAUGUUUGACAACUAGUAAAACACAUGGACCAUACCAUGUCUUGCUCAUCCAAACGGUUUGAUUUGUUGAACCUAUCAUGCAGCUCCCUCACAUCUAGAUCGAUCCUCUGAAGCCAAGUCUGUGGGGAAAUGUAGAAUCAGAUAAUAAAGUAACAACUUCAGUGCCAAAAAACAAAAAAAAUGAAGAAACUGUGGGUUUUUAUUUCUCUUACCGAAAACCUAAAAGGCAUGAUUAUUUUCUUGGACCCCACCUGUCUGUUGUACAUGAUUGCUUCAAUCCCUAACUCAAAAACAUGUGUCUUCAUCCAUCAUGCCUUCCUCAUUGAUUGAGCAAGCUCCUUGAUUAUGCAGAAGUAACCACGAUAGUUUAUGAUUUGCGGCCUGUAGAACAAACAGAAAGGCUCUGUUAAGAAAAAUAACAAUAGGAGAGAUCAUUGCAUGC